GGGUGACCUCCCGGGAAGUCCUCGU
rnacentral:snRNA from 1 species